rnacentral:ncRNA from 1 species
AUCUUCAGGGCGGGGUGCAAUUCCCCACCGGCGGUAAAGCCCGCGAGCCGUAAGGCAUGAUUCGGUGAGAUUCCGAAGCCGACAGUACAGUCUGGAUGGAAGAAGAGG